AGAGGUGAAAAGUCUCCCCAACGGGGGAGAAACUCGAAAUCACAAAUUGGAAAGAAGCUUGAGGGUGGCUUCUGAAUUCACCAGCAGCCCGCGGCUUAGCCGGGACGGCAAAGGGCAAGGUGUUAUGUUAGGUGCUGGUCCUCUGCGGCCAGCCUUAUUGGGAAGAAGGAAGAGGACAGAGCAGGAAGCUAAGGAAGCCAGGUGGGUGGGCCCUGGGGACAGCCCCCUCCCCUGCCCUGCUCAUUCUCUGUGCUUGUCUCCCUCUGCGAGACCCUGUCUAAGAAACUCAGUUGCUCUUUCAGGUUCAAACUUUCAUCAGCCAGAAAAAUUAAAAACAAAACAAAAGCCAAAAAACAAAGCCCCCAAAUUCCCAGAUAAAAAUAGUCCUUAGGUGUGCAUUUAGCCUUCUUUGAAAACCCAUGAAAUCUGAUCUCUUUGCAGGGCAGAGUGACCCUCAGGCGGCCGCGAACCCCAAGGUCCUCCGGCGGCAUAUGUGUCCCUCUGGCCCCAGCGUCUCCCACGGCCCCUCUUUCUGCCUCUCAUCAGCGUUCCCUCAGGGUUCAUGCUCACUGGAAAUGGAUCAACACCAUUUGUUUUGCUUCUUUUGCCCCAGAACAAAGGGGGUUUGUUGAUGUGACCGGGUUGUACUGAGCCGGACACAUUACUUUCCAGCUGAACCCCCAACCGGAUUCACUCCUGAGCCCCCGGGUGAUCACACACCCUUUUCCUUAACCUCUGUACUUCCUCUUCUCGUGCACUCAGAAGAAUCAUGCCCGUGAAGAAAUUCACAGGGCCUCUUAGAGGUGUCAGGUCUCUUCAGUGGGUUCACCUUACCUGAACGUGCUUAUCUUUAGCUAGCCCUUGGCCUGGAUGCCUGUUGCAGGGGACCACGCCAUGGCCACACCUCGUCGGCUCUUCUAAGGAGCCAGCUAAGGUGAUCCUUUUGUCUUCAAUCCCUUUCCCUUCUCUCCGUGCCGCGUGAUUCUCUGGUUCAUUGAGCACUCCUCAACAUCUGUCUCCUCCGAGAAACCGCCCUUUGCAAACUAGCUGGGCUCUUGUCACUUGAGAUACCCAUGGAACCAACGCAACACUCUGCAGAUCCUGGAUACCAUGUGAAAAAGAUGUGACUGAGGGCGACUCACCCCGCCAUAUUUCUUGCAAAAUUCCUGAAGGAAGGACCGGCGUUUUUCUUGAGUUGCA